CCGCGAUUCGCCCUUCGGGGCGCACCAGGCGCGAAAACUUUACAAUGCCGGCAACGGUGAUAAGGGAACCUCGAGUGCCAGGUUACAAAUCUGGCUGUCGUGAUGCCUAAAAAGCAUUGCAUAGCAAGGGCCGGGCAAGACCGGUGCCAGCCGCCGCGGUAACACCGGCGGCUCGAGUGGUAACCGUUAUUAUUGGGUCUAAAGGGUCUGUAGCCGGCCGGAUAAGUCUCUUGGGAAAUCUGGCAGCUUAACUGUCAGGCUUUCAGGAGAUACUGUCUGGCUCGAGGCCGGGAGAGGUGAGAGGUACUUCAGGGGUAGGGGUGAAAUCUUGUAAUCCUUGAAGGACCACCAGUGGCGAAGGCGUCUCACCAGAACGGACCUGACGGCAAGGGACGAAAGCUAGGGGCACGAACCGGAUUAGAUACCCGGGUAGUCCUAGCCGUAAACGAUACUCGCUAGGUGUCGGCCACGGUGCGACCGUGGUCGGUGCCGUAGGGAAGCCGUGAAGCGAGCCACCUGGGAAGUACGGCCGCAAGGCUGAAACUUAAAGGAAUUGGCGGGGGAGCAC
rnacentral:rRNA from 1 species